rnacentral:rRNA from 1 species
ACGGGGCGCACAGGCCGGAAAACUUUACAAUGCGGGAAACCGUGAUAAGGGAACUCCGAGUGUCCGUAAAUGCGGACUGUCCGUAUGUUUAAAAAGCAUGCGAAGAAAGGGCCGGGCAAGAUCGGUGCCAGCCGCCGCGGUAAUACCGGCGGCUCGAGUGGUGGCCACUAUUAUUGGGCUUAAAGCGUUCGUAGCUGGGUUAUUAAGUCUCUUGGGAAAUCUACCGGCUUAACCGAUAGGCGUCCAAGGGAUACUGGUAAUCUAGGAACCGGGAGAGGUGAGGGGUACUUCAAGGGUAGGAGUGAAAUCCUGUAAUCCUUGGGGGACCACCUGUGGCGAAGGCGCCUCACCAGAACGGCUCCGACAGUGAGGGACGAAAGCUGGGGGAGCAAACCGGAUUAGAUACCCGGGUAGUCCCAGCCGUAAACGAUGCGCGUUAGGUGUAUCGAUGACCACGAGUCAUCGAGGUGCCGAAGGGAAACCGUGAAACGCGCCGCCUGGGAAGUACGGUCGCAAGGCUGAAACUUAAAGGAAUUAGCGGGGGAGCACCACAACAGGUGGAGCCUGCGGUUUAAUCGGACUCAACGCCGGAAAUCUCACCGGAUAAGACAGCUGAAUGAUAGCCGGGCUGAAGACUCUGCUUGACUAGCUGAGAGGAGGUGCAUGGCCGUCGUCAGUUCGUACUGUGAAGCAUCCUGUUAAGUCAGGCAACGAGCGAGACCCACGCCAACAGUUGCCAGCAUGUCCUCCGGGAUGGUGGGGACACUGUUGGGACCGCCUCUGCUAAAGAGGAGGAAGGAAUGGGCAACGGUAGGUCAGCAUGCCCCGAAUUAUCCGGGCUACACGCGGGCUACAAUGGGCAGGACAAUGGGUUUCGACACCGAAAGGUGAAGGCAAUCUCUUAAACCUGCUCGUAGUUCGGAUUGCGGGUUGCAACUCGCCCGCAUGAAGCUGGAAUCUGUAGUAAUCGCGUCUCAAAAUGGCGCGGUGAAUAAGUCCCUGCUCCUUGUACACACCGCCCGUCA